rnacentral:rRNA from 1 species
UGGGGAAUUUUGCGCAAUGGGCGAAAGCCUGACGCAGUAACGCCGCGUGGAGGAUGAAGGCCUUCGGGUUGUAAACUCCUGUCAGGAGGAACGACGGGGGUAGGAUGAAUAAUUCUAUCUCCCAGACGGUACCUCCAAAGGAAGCCCCGGCUAAUUCCGUGCCAGCAGCCGCGGUAAUACGGAAGGGGCAAGCGUUGUUCGGAAUCAUUGGGCGUAAAGGGCGCGUAGGUGGUCCUGUGUGUCUAUCGUGAAAGCACACGGCUCAACCGUGUAAAGUCGGUGGAAACUGCAGGACUUGAGGUUGGGAGGGGCUGGUGGAAUUCCCUGUGUAGCGGUGAAAUGCGUAGAGAUGGGGGAGAACACUUGUGGCGAAGGCGGCCAGCUGGACCAAUCCUGACACUGAGGCGCGACAGCGUGGGGGAGCAAACAGGAUUAGAUACCCACGUAGUCCCUGAGCGGGCUGGCAAGGCGCAU